AUUUUGUUAUAUAUGCUUUUCAUUUCUCAUUCUCUGGAAGUGGGCCGUUGUUCUAAAAAGUGUACAGAAAAUGAUAAGUUUCUGCUUUAGAGCACUGUACUUUUUAAGUUCAUCUUUUUGUACGAUAAGCAAUUAAAAUUUGGUUUUAAAUGGAUUUGUCUCUCUCCAUUCCAUAAAUACCGAUAUUUUUACCGAAAUUGUUAAUUGAAAGUACGCUACUGAAGUUUAUUAUUAUUAUUAUUAUUUAAACUUUAUACCUACCUACCUAUUAUUUUAGUUUAUACCUACUUAGCAGUAUUUUGUGAAAUGCACAAGUCUUUUAAUUUCCUCAAAUAUGAAAUGAAAAUUAAAGUGUUUAACUCGGGUGAAAAGCACCAAUUCAAAUGGUUGCCUUUCAUCUCUUGGCUAACAAUAUACUAUUUAUAAAUUGUAUAUACAGAUGUCAAUCACAAGGAAAAAACAGCAUAUGGUUAUUUAUUUAAUCUAUUGAAUCGUCUAUCGUACUGGUGUGGGACGCAACGUGUGUCGACACCUUUCCACAGUCCCACAUUGGGGCAGCCCGCAAUCAGGCCGGCGCUGCGGUUGACCAGGCCCAGAUGCUCAAGCGCCGCAAAUACUCGGCCUUACUCAAAGUCUAUGAGUUUGCGCGGCGCUCUCGGUUGAGACUUUUGGUCCCUGGUCAGCCGACAUGAAAGCAUUUAUGAGGGCACUGUCGGCGCGGCUUGUCGACACAACAGGGGACCCCAGGACUGGCGCGUACCUCUCUAAACGUAUCUUCCUUGCGAUACAGAGAGGUAACGCCGCCAGUUUCAUGGGGUCCAUGCCGCAGGCAGAUUUAUUGGACGGGGUGUUCUCUUUGUAAUUGGGUUUUUUUAUUAUUUUGUAGGUAAGUAUAUUUUUAUUUUUCCUUUGUUAUUUUCUACACUUAGUUUCAACUUUAGUAUUAUUUAUUUUUUUAUUUAGGUUUUACGUUUUUAUUGAUUACAAAAGUCUAGCAUCAUAGAAAUAAUAUUACGCCAUUCAAUAUUAUUUAUAAACGCGCUGCAAGGCUAAAUUAGCUUUUUCAUUUACGCUUUACAUCCCCUUCGGCCGCGUAUGUAACCGGAGUUUUGUAACCAGUUACCUAAGAAGAAAAAAUGAUCCUCAUAGGAUACUGGUAUCCAAGUGAUAUAUUUUUUUCCUUUCACGUAACCGAGUUACAACCUAGGAAAACUUCCUAAUGAUUACGAGUAAGUAUUUUAUAUUCCUCGCAGGUAACUGCUUGAAAGAUAGGUAUGGUAUUAUCAACCUCUUUUGAUAUCAUGCACUCAACAUUCUUUAUAUAACUGACGUUUUCAUAACACCUAGCACGGUACUGCUACAACCUGAAUGCACAAACUGAGACAGAAUAGUAUAGUACUGUUCUGUCUCAGCUUGUGCUGCCUACUAUUCUGCCCCGCUGCUCUGCCCUCGUGUGAAACGGGCAUAACUUUGCAACUCAAAAAUCAUGAACUAAGCGUAAUACUUUCUGUUGCCCUGGUACUUUUCACACUUUUCUCACCACGAUAUUCGUCACUUAUUCCAGAUGUCUUCAAUUACAAAAAAAAUAAUAUGGUAUAGGUCCUCGGUAAAGCAUGGGUCCGGAUGACUCAUGGUUUCAUAAGAGUAUUAUUUAUUCCUUACUGGAUACUAGUUACGAACAAUCAUACAGGUAUCAGUAAAGGUAAAAAUCCUAUUACUUGGAUACCAGUAUCCUAUGAGGAUCAUUUUUUAUUUUUAUGUAACUGGUUACAAAACUCCGGUUACAUACGCGGCCGAAGGGUUUAUUUACAUCAUAAACAAAAACCUCUUUGACAUGCCAAGGUCCCGGGCGCAAGCAAGCUAAUGUAUACCUAACUUGUAAGUGUCAAGUUUAUUUUGACAGUGUCUAAUGACAGACGUUUUUAGUUGUCCCUGGCGAUGUGGGGCUGUGGGCACGACUGCAGUCAGAACAAGACAAGUCUGCAACGAUUUUGAUAGCACACGCAGAGCAAGUGUUAUUUUUCUACGUCAUAAUUUCAUAGAUGUUUGACGUGCCCCUCCCCCGCAAAAAUCAGUAGACUGUAACAGGCUUGUUUUGUACAGAAAAUUCAGGCAAGGCGUCUCCAAUUGUCAAAUCCUCCAAGGUUAAAAUCGACAAUCUAGUCCAAACAUCUUAGAAAGGCGUCAUCAUAGUCUAUGAAUAAAGCACUAAAAAAUAAAAGUGACAUUUGUCAUUUUAUAUCGGGUGUCAUUUAAAAUCAUAAAUUUAUUUACAGAAAAUAAUUCUAAAAGAAAAUCUACCAAACUAAUUUACAAUAAAAACCAUAAAUUCCCAAGAUUUGAUCAGUGUUCCGUCCUAUUGACAAGGAGACAAAUCAUGAAUGGACCAGAGCAACCAUGUUGAGCUACCUUCUUAUAAUAAUUAAGAAGUGGAGGGCGAUCCUUAUUUUAACAGUCGGAAACUUAUGCCUGACGAAACCGAGACGUUAUAUAAAAUGCAUUUAUGGUUUCGUUGGAGGAAGAGUCCGAAUUUUGAGCAACGAUGCUAUGCGAGAAGUCGCGCAAAACAACGCGAGUUGCGUAUCCUGUACUGGAGGCCAAGACCCACGGUGCUGCUGAUUUACAAAGUUAGUAUAUUUUACUCUGCACCCUACCGGCAGAUCAUUAAUAAAUUCGAAAGCGAGAUAAACAAUUGUAAUUUACAAGAUUCGAUAAUUAGAGACGCUAGUAUUAUAUCCUAAUGGACAUCUAUCAUUUGUAAAUAUUACUUGUUAUAUAUAAUGACCCAAAACUUAUAUGUACUUGUAUGUAUAUAA